GUGCCUUUGUCAGCACAUAUACUAAAAUUGCAAUGAUACAGAGAAGAUUGGCGUGGUCCCUACGUAAGGACGCCAUGCAAAUUCGUGAAGCAUUCUGUAUUUUU
ensembl:snRNA U6 U6 spliceosomal RNA